rnacentral:snRNA from 1 species
GUGCUUGCUUUGGCAGCACAUAUAUUAAAAUUGGAAUAGUACAGAGAAGAUUAACAUGGCCCCAAGCAAGGAUGACACACAAAUUCAUGAAGUAUUCCAUAUUACA